GCUCUUGCACUCCAAGAAGCCCUUCUUUGCUUGCAUGAGGAACUGAACUGCCAAGAUAAAGGACUCGACAACGACAAUAAGGAGUCGCAGUGUCUUGAUUUGAACCCCUCAUUGUUUCCUGGAUUAUAAAAGGAUUAUAGAUAUAUAUGAGCAUGACUAUAAAGAUCAGGAAAGUGCUAGAUUAACAAGAGACUGACGAGCUCUUUUACGACGAUGAACCCAAGAGUUUCUAUUUCUGAGAAGUCCACUUCCGCAUGCAAGCUGCCUAUCAAUUUAUUUAAAACCCUCACAAUAAAAAGAGCAUUAUAAUAGAGGCACGCCUAUCUUUCCUCUGACUUAUACAUGGAUACAAUCUUACCACAUUCACAUGGAUAUACAUUUCACGUUAUUUCUAUUCGAUUAAAGAGAACUUUAAACGAUAUAAUAAUUUGAAAUCUCCAUAAAGGACCAAGUUGUUGAUUGCACCUGUGACUAGACAUUUUUCUUAGUAAUUAUUUCCCUUAUUUAUGCCAAGUUAUCAAACAUGCGGCUGAUGUUUAUCACAGAGAAGAAUAUCUUAAACACCUGACUUGUAAGUAAUGUGGAUGCGUACCAAGCAGUGUCGAUUAGAAUAACGGGAGACACAAAUGCCUGGGAAGUAGUACCUCCCUGAAGAUUUUGCCGCGAGCACGAAAGCUGAAUAAGGGUCGCACAAGUUGUAAUAAAAUCAUUAUUUUAUUAUUUAU